rnacentral:lncRNA from 1 species
GAAAGGGCUAGGGGCUAAAUGAGCUGCACUGAUGGUAAAUGCUGAUAGAGGCCUAUGGAGGGGACCUUGUGGCCCAGGGCAGCAAGAAAUGCUGCAUUGGAGAGAUGGGGUACAUGCGAGUGACAAUGGGAAGAGUUGGUAGCUGGAGAGAACUGGGAAAGCCUUCAGAAACGUGGGGCUAAAAUAAGCCCAGAAGCUGAGGAAGGGCUGAGUCAGACCCUCAGAGUGGAGCAAUCACUGCACGGCUGCUCCUUGUAAGAAACAUCCCGUUGCGCCUGAGUUGUUUAUUGCCAGGAGCUGUAAGUGAAAAAUGAGCUCUCUUAAGCCAGGCUGGGAGCAGGCUCCUCUUCCUGGAGAUGGCACGAUGCUUCACAGCUUGGAAACGUUCUGUGCCAGUAUAAAAGGGGUGGCAUACAUCCCUCGGAGCAGGAAAGCCUGAUGACAAAGGGGAAGGAGCCUGGGCUGGAAGCCAAGUGGCACUAGGGUUAGUCUCAACUUCAUUGCUUACCAGAUAUGUCAAAUGAAUGAUACCCUUACCUGCUGAGAGUCUACCUUUUCUCAGUUGCAAGAUUAAAAUGUAAGCCAGA